rnacentral:miRNA from 2 species
UGUGGAUGCAAAGUGUGCGAUG